UAUUAAAAUUUCCAUUUAUUCGUACGGUCAAAAGCUGGUGUGACUAAUGGAAUAACCAGCUAGUGAUACAUGGCAUGCCACUGUACAUCAUACUUAUAUACAUGGAUCAAAUUUUAAUAGUAGUAAUGGAUGAAAAUUUUAAUA
rfam:Gossypium raimondii Chr01_contig_97, whole genome shotgun sequence.